AAUGCCUCGGUUCCCACUGCAUACAUCAGUCCAAGCAGGCUAUCGUAGCACUGUAGCGAACGUUCCCAGCGGUCAACAAACACUCUUACCACUUGCUGCAAUAUUCUUAAUAGCCACCCAUUAAGACGAAAUCACAGCUUAAAUCACAAAGCAAAGAAGUGGUUGGGCACUUGCCUCUAUUCAACAGCGCGCUUGAAGACAGUGCCUGAAGUAAUUCGUGUGGUCCACGCAAUGAAGACGUUCACGCUUCUUGUCAUCCUCACGACACUCACACUGAUAUUGCUCUCGUUUCCAGAGGAAAGUCACGGGGUUGUUUUUGUUCUUACAAAUGGCAGAGUAAGGAAGGUUCAAAAGAGGGAACAAGAACGAAAGAAGAAACGACGAAAAGCACGCCUAAGAAACAAAAAUCGGAGGAAAAGAAAGAGACAAGAAAAUAAACGAAAACUCAAGGAAAUGAGGCGCUGGCUGACACGAUUCUCCAAGAAGAGCAAAAGUUUCGAUGUUGGAGAUCGGGGCGUAAGAAAGAAGCCCAUUUGGUGAUCCACGAAUGACACUGCAGGAAAAGCAUGGAAAACAUGCGCCAUGUUGUUGAGACACAACGUUGGAUUGUAAACUUCCUCCCACCUUCAACGAACAUAAGACUAAGAUCCAACACAAGAUUGGUGCGAACUAAGUUAAAAGUCAUAUUUAUAAAUGAUGCAUUCUUCGAACAGGGUAAAUUCACACACUCGAAAAGACUGAAAUAAAUUGCCAAGACUUAAUUAUAUCAGCCUCAUUAACUUCGUCCAGCAUUAAAUGUUGAAAUAAUGACGAGCAAUGAAAAUGCUUGCUCGUUGGUACAUUUGUGAAAAUGAUGCAAAUCGGCUGUUGAGAUUUCAACUUCUAUUUAUUUAUUCCUUUUUAUGUAAUUUCAUUAGAAACUUUAUGUACCAGUUAAGCGCUUAACAUAACAUAUUUGUGGAAAAUAACUGAGUUUUUUUUUUAGGUUUGUAUGCUCGUUUUAAAUUAUAGCGUGCGCAAAUUGAUUAUUGUCGACAUUUGGGCUCCACCUCGAGCUGGACCUAAUCAUUAAUAAAACUACUGCAGAUUGAAACA